AGCUAGUAGAGUUCCAUGUAAAUUAGCAAAGCUACACCAGUUUGCACCAGCUGGGGUUUAGUUGCUUUGUAGGAGCCCAAACUGGUACUGGAGGAACCUACAGUCACACUGGGUAUUUCUCUAAUUCAAGCACCUUCCAAACUCUGGAGUUUUAUUUCAAUCAAGAUUGAAGCCAUAGUGUGUAAAAUGCUUUGGGUAGAAGGAUGCAGAUGUAAUCAUAAUCACAGACAUGGACUGACACCAGGGCAACUGCACGGAGCAGGAAAGAUGGGGAAGGGAGGAGGAAGCUCCUGAAUAUGUCUAUGCUGAAAAUAUCCUAAUACCCCUCUGAUUCAGAGACGCUUUAUUGUUGUUCCCUCACACUGGUAACUCUUAGCUCCAUUGCAACAUCAGAGCUAUUUGAGCCAAGAUGGGGUAGGGGUAUGAGUUUAAAAGGUGUAAAUUCUGAAUUUAUUUAUGCAUUUAGUGCUUAGUAGAGAAACUGGAGUAAUAGCUGACAAUCAUCUAAUUACUGAAGUGGCCAAAAGCCACUGGACCUGAUUCUCCAUUGCCUGGAACACCUGGAGGCAUUUAUACCUUGACAAAGUGAAUGUUAACUACUGCCAGUGACACUGGAGUCAUCUGAUUUAGUAGCAUUUUACACCCUCUUAGCACUUCACUUCAUACAGGUAUGAAUGACUAUACAAUGUCAAGGUAGUGGAAAAUGACUCCCAUUAAGAUUUCUGCAUAUCUGGGUAAUAAAGCUGCCAUUACUUAAUGUACAUUUUCUGAUAUGUCCUUGAUUUUUCUCUACAGUGUUUAAAAAACAAAAAAGAACAAAGCUAAACAAACAUACCUACUAGUAAUUAGGGCAACUUUUACAUUAGACAGUACUUAGAUCCUAAGUUCAAGUGUAAUAAAUGCAUUGUCAUAUUUUAGUGUUAUUUAGUCUCAGAAAGUUUGUGUUAUCAAUUACCAAAUGAGAAAACCAUUUCCCACUUUCCCAAAAUAUCUAUCUUUCGUGUAGAAGUUGACACAAAAUGAAAUCCUGAUGUUUGUUACAGACUUGAAAUCUAGAUGUUUGAAAUCAGUUUUACAAAAACAUCUGAACAUAGGGAGUUUCAUCCAAAAUACCUCACAAUGUCUGUGGCUUGAUGAAUAGGGCACUAGACUGCGUCUUAAGAGUUUGGCUCUAUCCCCUGCUCUUUCACUAACCUGCUGUGUGUGACCUUUUUCAGAUCCAUGUUUGUUUCCACUACUACUAUUUAUUACAUUAAUAAAUAAGAUUAUUUCAAACACUGAUCUUCAAUAAUGCUUAGUUCAUAAGUA